CCUACGGGUGGCAGCAGUGGGGAAUAUUGGACAAUGGGCGAAAGCCUGAUCCAGCCAUGCCGCGUGUGUGAAGCAGGCCUUCGGGUUGUAAAGCACUUUCAGUGGGGAAGAAAGCCUUGGGUCUAAUACCCUCGAGGAAGGACAUCACCCACAGAAUAAGCACCGGCUAACUCCGUGCCAGCAGCCGCGGUAAUACGGAGGGUGCGAGCGUUAAUCGGAAUUACUGGGCGUAAAGCGCGCGUAGGCGGUCUGAUAAGCCGGUUGUGAAAGCCCCGGGCUCAACCUGGGAACGGCAUCCGGAACUGUCAGGCUAGAGUGCAGGAGAGGAAGGUAGAAUUCCCGGUGUAGCGGUGAAAUGCGUAGAGAUCGGGAGGAAUACCAGUGGCGAAGGCGGCCUUCUGGACUGACACUGACGCUGAGGUGCGAAAGCGUGGGUAGCAAACAGGAUUAGAUACCCUUGUAGUC
rnacentral:rRNA from 1 species